rnacentral:snRNA from 1 species
AGCUGCUCCAGUGUAGGA